CAAAUGUCGGGCCAAGCGACUGAGCUAGGAUCGCAGCGAUGAAGCCGUAUGUUCAAAUUAGCGAAUUUUUAAGUGUGGAAAAUCAGAAUAUUCCUCGGGGGUGCCUGGGCCAGCCGCGCACGGCUGGGAGGACGGCAGCCGAGUUUCUCCAGCAACGAAAAGAAGAGAGAAAGAUGUUCCCCCAAACUCUCCCUUUUGGUCCCCUCACGGCCCUCAGAACUGGGGACCACCCCGAAAAAUAAAAAGAUGCCCUCCGCAGA